UACAGAGGGUGCGAGCGUUUAAUCGGAAUUACUGGGCGUAAAGCGUGCGUAGACGGUUAUUUAAGUCAGGUGUGAAAGCCCCGGGCUCAACCUGGGAAUUGCAUUUGAGACUGAAUAGCUAGGGUGCGGAAGAGGGAAGCGGAAUUUCCGGUGUAGCGGUGAAAUGCGUAGAUAUCGGAAGGAACACCAGUGGCGAAAGCGGCUUCCUGGUCCAGCACCGACGUCAGGCACGAAAGCGUGG
rnacentral:rRNA from 1 species